rnacentral:rRNA from 1 species
CAGCCGCCGCGGUAAUACGAAGGGGGCUAGCGUUGCUCGGAAUUACUGGGCGUAAAGCGUGCGCAGGCGGUUUGUUAAGACAGAUGUGAAAUCCCCGGGCUCAACCUGGGAACUGCAUUCGUGACUGGCAAGCUAGAGUCUGGCAGAGGGGGGUGGAAUUCCGCGUGUAGCAGUGAAAUGCGUAGAUAUGCGGAGGAACACCGAUGGCGAAGGCAGCCCCCUGGGCCAACACUGACGCUCAUGCACGAAAGCGUGGGGAGCAAACAGGAUUAGAUACCCCCGUAGUCCCUGUCUCUUAUAC